AUUGAACGCUGGCGGCAGGCCUAACACAUGCAAGUCGAGCGGAUGAAGGGAGCUUGCUCCUGGAUUCAGCGGCGGACGGGUGAGUAAUGCCUAGGAAUCUGCCUGGUAGUGGGGGAUAACGUCCGGAAACGGGCGCUAAUACCGCAUACGUCCUGAGGGAGAAAGUGGGGGAUCUUCGGACCUCACGCUAUCAGAUGAGCCUAGGUCGGAUUAGCUAGUUGGUGGGGUAAAGGCCUGCCAAGGCGACGAUCCGUAACUGGUCUGAGAGGAUGAUCAGUCACACUGGAACUGAGACACGGUCCAGACUCCUACGGGAGGCAGCAGUGGGGAAUAUUGGACAAUGGGCGAAAGCCUGAUCCAGCCAUGCCGCGUGUGUGAAGAAGGUCUUCGGAUUGUAAAGCACUUUAAGUUGGGAGGAAGGGCAGUAAGUUAAUACCGUGCUGUUUUGACGGUACCAACAGAAUAAGCACCGGCUAACUUCGUG
rnacentral:rRNA from 1 species